GCCGCCGGACGGGUGGUCGCUGCCGCCAACCAGCGGGGUUCGCUUCGCCAGGGGCGGUGGAGGAAAGUCCGGUCUCCACAGGGCAGCGUGCCGGCUAACGGCCGGGCGGACCGCUUGCGGUUCGACGGAUAGUGCCACAGAAAAUAUACCGCCGCGGGCAACCGCGGUAAGGGUGAAAUGGUGCGGUAAGAGCGCACCGCGGCUGGAGUAAUUCAGCCGGCAGGGAAAACCCCACGCGGAGCAAGACCAAAUAGGGGAGGAGGGGCGGCCCGCUCCGUUCGACUUCCGGGUAGGUCGCUAGAACCGUUCAGUAAUGGACGGUCCAGAUGAAUGACCGCCGCCCGCAAGGGCACAGAAACCGGCUUACAGUCCGGCGGCCUCA
rnacentral:RNase_P_RNA from 1 species